rnacentral:tRNA from 1 species
AAACGGCCGGAAAAACCAGAAAAAACAAUGCUAAUAACAUCGCGCCUUUGCAACAAAUCGCUAACGAGAGCGCAUCCAGACACAU